GUUCUCUUUCCCUGCGACCCUGCCACUCCUAGUCUCCACCCCUCCACCGCCAGACCUGAAACAACCGUCGGCGGCCAGCUCCCGGCGGCUCGACGAUGUCUCCUCCAGCCUCCGGCCUCCACCGUCUCCUUGUCUCCACCCCUCCGUCCCUUCCCCCAAGUCCCCCCGCCAUGGAUUUUGAUGGCACGGAGAGCGAGACCGGCGGCGAGCACCACGAUGACGACUUCCGGUCCACUCCGACAGUGAGCCUAUAUACCGUGAUAUGUCACGUCAACCAAAUACACAUCAACCAAAUACCAAAUGCUUUGAUGGUCUUCCUUCCCCGGGAGCAAGAAGGAAGAGAGAUUAUACUAGCAGGCAACGAGCGAGGCUGCGGAGUUGGUUGCGAGGCUGUCAUGGCGCCAGGCGCGGGCAUAGUGCCGCCAAACUUUGGAGGCCGCGCCAGCCAGUUUGGCGAACAUCAGGAAUUACUCCUCUGCUCCAUAAUUUUUGCUAGUACAAAUUUGAAAUAAAACCACGAAAAGAAUUAUGAGACCGAGGAAGCAGAACGUGGCGCCCUGGUCGGCCACACCUGUCAUGUGUAUGUGCGCACAUCGAUCAAUACAUUGCGUCUCCUUAAAUAGCCAGUGAGAACCGUGCUGGUACUACUACUGGAGGCCGGCCGUGUACGUUGGCACAAAUCAAAUCAACAACACGAUCGAUCUACGCAAGAACCCUACACAGAACAUACCUGUGUAGUAAGUCUGGCCAUUAAUGAAGUGGUUGAGGUUCCUGGACGCCAAAGCCGACGACAAUGAGGUAUAGGUAUAUAUGACGAGGUUGAGCACCAUGAGUUCGGUUCUUUUCGGUUAGAACGGAAGACCGAACCAAAUUUCCGGUUCCAGAAAUAUUCGGUUCCUGGUUAAGAACCGUCGGUUUUGAUUUUCAGAGAACCGAAUUUGCUAAAAAAACCGACGGUAAACCAAUGCCCACCCUGGCACAGCAGAAACACGCGUAGGAGUAGGAUCAGACAAGCACAUAGCAACUGGAGCAGCUCAUUAAAUAAAAUCUCGAGGCUCAGAUCGACACGGACUUUAUUAAUUCAUUUUAUCCUCUAUUCGUUCGUGAAGCGGCGGGGUUCGUCUAGAUGGAAUUGUGGACAAGAACAAAGUCAAAAUUAGAAUCCCCUUCCCUCUCCCUCCGCCUCUCCCAAACAUGAAAAUUAAUUUAGUAGUUUACCUAAUUAAAAUACUUGACAAUCCUUUCAAAAUCCUUUUAAAAUAGUGAAUUUUCAAUUAAAGAUGUUAGUUAAGUUUUUUGAAGAUUUCGCCUUCCCAAUAUCCUCUAAGAAUGCUAAUGCCAAUAGCUUCAAGUGAUAAAGAAUAAUGCCAUUUUAUGAAAAAGCGAAGUCAUGGCAAAUACAUCCGAACGAUAGAAGUUUCACAGAAUGGGAAUAUUAUUAUUCUCAUCAAAGAAUAACAUUAGUUUCUCACACAAAAAAAACUGUGAGAUUAUUAUAGAUGCAGGGAGCAUGCAAAAAACACAAUCUCUAAAUUCUAAGUUCCAUACGCCCAAAAUUUAGCUCAAAAGUCUGAGGAGAAUAUUCUUAGUCUAUC